rnacentral:rRNA from 11 species
AAAUUGAAGAGUUUGAUCAUGGCUCAGAUUGAACGCUGGCGGCAGGCCUAACACAUGCAAGUCGAACGGUAACAGGAAGCAGCUUGCUGCUUUGCUGACGAGUGGCGGACGGGUGAGUAAUGUCUGGGAAACUGCCUGAUGGAGGGGGAUAACUACUGGAAACGGUGGCUAAUACCGCAUAACGUCGCAAGACCAAAGAGGGGGACCUUCGGGCCUCUUGCCAUCAGAUGUGCCCAGAUGGGAUUAGCUUGUUGGUGAGGUAACGGCUCACCAAGGCGACGAUCCCUAGCUGGUCUGAGAGGAUGACCAGCCACACUGGAACUGAGACACGGUCCAGACUCCUACGGGAGGCAGCAGUGGGGAAUAUUGCACAAUGGGCGCAAGCCUGAUGCAGCCAUGCCGCGUGUAUGAAGAAGGCCUUCGGGUUGUAAAGUACUUUCAGCGGGGAGGAAGGUGUUGUGGUUAAUAACCGCAGCAAUUGACGUUACCCGCAGAAGAAGCACCGGCUAACUCCGUGCCAGCAGCCGCGGUAAUACGGAGGGUGCAAGCGUUAAUCGGAAUUACUGGGCGUAAAGCGCACGCAGGCGGUCUGUCAAGUCGGAUGUGAAAUCCCCGGGCUCAACCUGGGAACUGCAUUCGAAACUGGCAGGCUUGAGUCUUGUAGAGGGGGGUAGAAUUCCAGGUGUAGCGGUGAAAUGCGUAGAGAUCUGGAGGAAUACCGGUGGCGAAGGCGGCCCCCUGGACAAAGACUGACGCUCAGGUGCGAAAGCGUGGGGAGCAAACAGGAUUAGAUACCCUGGUAGUCCACGCCGUAAACGAUGUCUACUUGGAGGUUGUGCCCUUGAGGCGUGGCUUCCGGAGCUAACGCGUUAAGUAGACCGCCUGGGGAGUACGGCCGCAAGGUUAAAACUCAAAUGAAUUGACGGGGGCCCGCACAAGCGGUGGAGCAUGUGGUUUAAUUCGAUGCAACGCGAAGAACCUUACCUGGUCUUGACAUCCACAGAACUUUCCAGAGAUGGAUUGGUGCCUUCGGGAACUGUGAGACAGGUGCUGCAUGGCUGUCGUCAGCUCGUGUUGUGAAAUGUUGGGUUAAGUCCCGCAACGAGCGCAACCCUUAUCCUUUGUUGCCAGCGGUCCGGCCGGGAACUCAAAGGAGACUGCCAGUGAUAAACUGGAGGAAGGUGGGGAUGACGUCAAGUCAUCAUGGCCCUUACGACCAGGGCUACACACGUGCUACAAUGGCGCAUACAAAGAGAAGCGACCUCGCGAGAGCAAGCGGACCUCAUAAAGUGCGUCGUAGUCCGGAUUGGAGUCUGCAACUCGACUCCAUGAAGUCGGAAUCGCUAGUAAUCGUGGAUCAGAAUGCCACGGUGAAUACGUUCCCGGGCCUUGUACACACCGCCCGUCACACCAUGGGAGUGGGUUGCAAAAGAAGUAGGUAGCUUAACCUUCGGGAGGGCGCUUACCACUUUGUGAUUCAUGACUGGGGUGAAGUCGUAACAAGGUAACCGUAGGGGAACCUGC